CAAUUCUAGAAGCAGCCCAGCCUGUCAUCCUUUGCGGGGACGGCCCAGCAGACCAAUGCAGAGUGUGAGAGCUUUACUGGGGGCAACAUGUGUGAGGAGUACGAGGCAAAAGCAGAGCUGCAGCCCAGCAUCUCUGUCCCCAUGUGGUCCUUCUUUAUUGUCUGCGGCACAUGUGAGCCCAGCCCCGCUGCCUGCCUUCUCUCAGUUUCUGGGGCAUCCACCAACCGGAGUAGACCCUGCGUGCUGGCCGUCCUCUGCGGGGGUGUCACAUGGCCAGACCACCAGGCAUGGGGGCUCGUCUAGGGCAGAUCUGCACAAGUCUAGAGUGAGGCUAAUGAGUGACCUUUCCUGAUUCUAGUCCUGAGGCCCUGAAAUUGGACUUUACAAAUAUUUAUCGCUUCCAGAAUUGUUUCUCCAGAAUAGCCUCAUGUUCUAUUCACUUUUAUUGUAUAAUAAACUACCCUGAAACACA